rnacentral:piRNA from 1 species
UGAUUCACUGAGGUGACUAGAUGGGU